AUUGAACGCUGGCGGCAGGCCUAACACAUGCAAGUCGAGCGAGCGGCGGACGGGUGAGUAAUGUAUGGGGACUGCCCGAUGGAGGGGGAUAACUGCUGGACACGGUAGCUACUCCCGCAUACUAUCGGAUAACCCAUGUUGGAUUAGCUAGUGGGUGGGGUAAUGGCUCACCAAGGCGACGAUCCCUAGCUGGUCUGAGAGGAUGAUCAGCCACACUGGAACUGAGACACGGCCCAGACUCCUACGGAGGCAGCAGUGGGGAAUAUUGAACAAUGGGCGCAAGCCUGAUGCAGCCAUGCCGCGUGUAUGAAGAAGGCCCUAGGGUUGUAAAGUACUUUCAGUCGGGAGGCGGUACCGACAGAAGAAGCACCGGCUAACUCCGUGCCAGCAGCCGCGGUAAUUC
rnacentral:rRNA from 1 species